UACGAAGGGGGCUAGCGUUGUUCGGAAUUACUGGGCGUAAAGCGUGCGCAGGCGGCUUCUCAAGUCAGGGGUGAAAGCCCAGAGCUCAACUCUGGAAUUGCCUUUGAGACUGAGUGGCUUGAGUACGAGAGAGGUGAGUGGAAUUCCCAGUGUAGAGGUGAAAUUCGUAGAUAUUGGGAAGAACACCGGUGGCGAAGGCGGCCUUCUGGACCAGUACUGACGCUCAUGCACGAAAGCGUGGGGAGCAAACAGG
rnacentral:rRNA from 1 species